rnacentral:misc_RNA from 1 species
GGCCGAGACGCGCAAAGUCGUCGAAGGCGUUUUGCCGAACCUCGGCAACCGGCCCCGAUCCGGGCAACCGGCCCCGCGCCGCGGCGAACAGCUCGCCGAGCGCAUGGUCCGUCGUGGGCUUAACCAAUGCAACGUUCAUGAUUGGACCCGCUUACGCUGCCUUGUCUUCGAACUGGGCGUAACCGGACUUUUCCAGCUCCAGCGCCAGUUCCUUGCCGCCGCUCUUGACCACGCGGCCCUUCGACAUGACGUGGACGAAAUCCGGCACGAUGUAGUUCAGCAGCCGCUGAUAGUGGGUGAUGACGACCAUCGCACGGUCCUUCGAGCGCAGCGCGUUGACGCCGUCAGCGGCGACA